UUGCAUAUCCCAUACCUGCUCCCCCAGUGUUCUUAUUCAAGAGGAUGUCCCCACCGACACCUUCCACCUCCCACCAGACCUCCCCACUCCCUGGGGCCCCAAGUCUCUUGAGGGUCAGAUGAAUCUUCUCUGACUAGUCCAGACCCGGCAGUCCUCUCCUAUAUAUGUGUUUGGGGCCUCAGAUCAGCUGGUGUAUGCUGCCUGGUUGGUGGCUCAGUGUUUGAGAGAUCUUGGGGAUUCAUGUUAGUUGAAGACUGCGGUCUUCUUAUAGUGUCACCCUCCUCCAAAGCUUCUUUCAGUUUUUCCCUAGUUCAACCACAGGGUCAGCAGCUUCUGUUCAAUGGCUGUAAAUAUCUGCAUCUGACCCUUUCAGCUGUUUGUUGGGUCUUUCACAGGGCGGUCAUGAUAGGUCCCUUUUUGUGAGCACACAAUAGCAUCAGUAACAGUGUCAGGCCUUUGGACCUUCCCUUGAGCUGGAUCCCAAUUUGGGCCUGUCACUGAACCUCUUUUCUCUCGGGCACUUCUCCAUUUUUGUCUCUGCAGUUCAGACAGGAACUAUACUGGGUCAGAGUUUUUGACUGUGGGAUGGCAACCUCAUUCCUCCAUUUGAUGUCCUGUCUCUCCACUGGAGGUGGGCUCUACAAGUUCUCUCUCCCUACUGUAGGGAAUUUCAUCUAAAGUCACUCUCUUUGAGUCUUGAGAGUCUCUCACCUCCCAGGUCUCUGGUACAUUCUAGAGGGGAAGAAAGACCAUGUUGGAUUAAUUUGAAAACAAACUUCUGCUCUUUAUCCACCAAAGAGGAGCUCUGGCAUUGUUUGUGUUACAGUACAAUUGUAGGAAACGUUUAAAUAUGACUUCUUAAAAACAUCUCUCAAGUGGCUCUUCUUUUGUUACUGAAAAAAAUUAACAAUGAAGAGGAAGUAAUCCUUGUAAAACCCAUUUCAUACGCAAAGAAAGAACCUUCUAGAAUGUUCACUUUACAUUCCUGUAGCCUCCUGUUCCAGCACCUGGCCCUGAUUCCUUUCCUUGAUUUUUCUUGCCUGAGACAGACGGUUAUUGCACACACUGAAGCACUAUUAUGGCUCUGAGAGGUCCAUUUUUAGAUAGAAUUUGCAACAUCAGCCUGACAGCUAUCUGCUAAAAUUCACCGGAGACAUUUUUAUAAAAACGAAUUUCAGACAAGGUUCUAUAACUGGGUAUUUGACAUUGAUUGUUCCCUCGAGGGGUACAUAAAGUAAUAUAAGCUAAAUAAUAUAAAAGAGGUUUGUAAAUAAUAUUAGGUACAAUUAAUAACAAUCAGAAUUUAUGAUAAAGAUAGGUUUAGUCAAAUAGAACAGAGUAGAAUCUGGGUGUUUAUGUUAAUUAUUAUGUGAUCACCACUUAACGUUGAUUUGGAUGUUGCUAAAAUCUACUUAUUUAUUUAAUCUCUCCUUUACUCUCCAUUCCCAUCUCUUUAUUAUCUCCUUCUGUUAUUCUUCCUGUAGUACUGACAAGAUAGUAAUCCUUCAGUCUCUAAGCCUCUAACUGUAGGGAUUAAAAUUUUAUGUUGCUCUACUUGGUAGUAAUUAAGAUCUUACUUAUACAAGGUAAGAUGGAGUCCACUCCUUUGUUUCUAAACUUUCUGGGAGGUAUGCAUGAUGAUUAAUUCCUAUCAGCAAUGAAAAAGAUAAAUGAGUCACUGAGUUGUAAACAGUGGUUAAUGUCUUACAAUCCGGAUGUAAAGUCACUUCUAACAGUGUCAGCUCCAGAUGUCCCAGUGCCAACCUCCUUGACAUUUAAAUAUUCCCAACUUUGAAAACGUGUGUUUAGUGCCUUAGCUGUACACUUAGUGCUUUGUGUCUUCAUCUGAGGCAGUGCUGAGCAACUCAUCCAGCGGCAUGAGUAACCAUCACCUCUUAGCUGGAUCCAUGGUGAGCUCUAUCACAUUUUUAUUAUUUCAGUUCCUUCUUCUUACCGCCCUUGUUAUUUUUCCAUUUCUUUCUCUUAGAGCAGGGAGAGGGAAAAUUUCCUCACAAGAAGAGAAACUCUGAAUGUCCGUUCCUCAUGAAACCUGCUGAAUAAUUUUGCAACAUAUCACUUCUGCAUACUGACUGGGAUCCUCAGCUCUUCUGAAGGUUUCCAAAAUAACCCCCCAGCUCUGUAAUAGUAAUGGUAAUUCAUCACUCAGAAAAGAACUGGCUUCCAAGAAAUAACAACAAACCAUAACAAAACAAAUAAAAUAAAGUAAAAUGAAAACUAUCACAUCAAAUUUGGACAAGACAAACCAUCAGAUGGAAAAGAGCCAAAGAGAAGACGCAAGAAUCAGAGACCCACUCAUUCACAGACUCAGGAAUGCCAUAAAAACACUAAACCAUAAUGUAAAAAAAUGGAGGACUUUCUGAAGAACUGUGCAUACUGCUUCAGUCUCUGUUUGCCUGAGCUUGGAGUAUGAGAUAGAGACAUCAUAUUUAGAGCUGUUUGUUCCAAGGAUAUGAGUAAUGGAUUAAAACAACACAAGACAAAAAAAAACAAAAAAAAAACAACCAAACAACAACAACAACAACAACACCCAACAACUUUGAAAUCUGAAGCCCGAAAGGAAAACUGCAAUGCUACUUGGGUCCACUAGGGAAGAAAGUGAAGGAGCUAGCAAGUAAUACACUUUAUAUUCCCAGGAAGAACUGAUACCUCCAGAAACAAGAUGGAAGGUCAUUUGAAUCGAGGAGAGACUGAGAUUGAGGUUAUGAUUAUGGAUAGAUGGAAGUGUGUGCAGAAGACACAGUCUAUAAGAAUGAGAACAAGUGGUUAAACACACGACUUAUUACUGUGUGUGCAGAGUCAUAAGGGCUGGUGUCUGACCACUGGCAUCCCUGGGAAGACUCUUCCUCACCUUUGUAUCUGUCUGAGAAAGCUUCUUGUGCAUGAGUUUGGGCCAUUUGAUAUGUGCAGAGCAUAUCUGAUUAAAAGCACAGAAGGAGUUGGAGAAUGAUUUGAGUUGGACUGAUUGUGAGAAGCAUAGGAAUAAUGUUUCCGAAAGGCUAGCACACAGAUCACCUGAGAAGCAGGGUGUGCGGAGGCAUAAACAGCAAACCACAUUCAAACGUUUCACACUGAGCAGAGAAGAGCACUGAGGAAAAUCUACAAUGCUGAGAAAACAGAAUGCACUUGAAUCUGGGUCCUGGAGAAGCUAAGGGAGUUUACCAUUCCCACAAGCAGAGAGUUUUCUGUUGCAGUCCAGGGUGAAUGAGUAUUCAGGCAGAAGCAGGCGUUGCUCCAGGACAGGAUUUCUGCAAACUGUUUCCUCCCAAAAUGUCAAAACAUCGGGCAAUCAGCUUCAUCAUGCAUCAUUUUAAGAGGACAAUUCUCUGUGGAUCAGAACAAAGUCAGACAAUAUUAUUUUAGACAAACAGCCUCGAUCAAAAUUGCCAUUUUACCCUUAGGAGCAUUCUAUACAGAAGCAAACUGUAUUUGUAUUUUUCCUGAUUAAUAUCUCUGGCUAAGGAAAUCUUUCCCAUAGAAUGUCCCUUUAUUUCAUUCCAUGUAUGAAACAAAUUUCAGAUUGAACCUGAUUGUAAUUAUGUAUAAUCAUCAAUGUACUGGUGAAAAUCUGACAGAUUUGAUAUAAUAUAUUUUAUAUUGUGUGGUUAAA